rnacentral:tRNA from 1 species
CAAGGCGUAGCUGAGAAGUUUAGCAUCUCCCUUACACCGAGAAGACAUCCGUGCAAUUCGGAUCGCCCUGA